UCACACUAUCAUUAACUGAAUCCAUAGGUUAAUGAGGCGAACCGGGGGAACUGAAACAUCUAAGUACCCCGAGGAAAAGAAAUCAACCGAGAUUCCCCCAGUAGCGGCGAGCGAACGGGGAGGAGCCCAGAGCCUGAAUCAGCAUGUGUGUUAGUGGAAGCGUCUGGAAAGGCGCGCGAUACAGGGUGACAGCCCCGUACACAAAAGCGCAUGUGCUGUGAGCUCGAUGAGUAGGGCGGGACACGUGGUAUCCUGUCUGAAUAUGGGGGGACCAUCCUCCAAGGCUAAAUACUCCUGACUGACCGAUAGUGAACCAGUACCGUGAGGGAAAGGCGAAAAGAACCCCGGCGAGGGGAGUGAAAAAGAACCUGAAACCGUGUACGUACAAGCAGUGGGAGCCCCACCACUAAGCCAGUGGUGAACUCCACAUCCGCAUCCUUUGCUGAGGAUACGGUUAACGGAGCGAAAGCGACGUUCAACCGCAAAACAAGCAGAGGGGGCUUAGUGGUGGGGUGACUGCGUACCUUUUGUAUAAUGGGUCAGCGACUUAUAUUCUGUAGCAAGGUUAACCGUAUAGGGGAGCCGGAGGGAAACCGAGUCUUAAUUGGGCGUUAAGUUGCAGGGUAUAGACCCGAAACCCGGUGAUCUAGCCAUGGGCAGGUUGAAGGUUGGGUAACACUAACUGGAGGACCGAACCGACUAAUGUUGAAAAAUUAGCGGAUGACCUGUGGCUGGGGGUGAAAGGCCAAUCAAACCGGGAGAUAGCUGGUUCUCCCCGAAAGCUAUUUAGGUAGCGCCUCGUGAAUUCAUCUCCGGGGGUAGAGCACUGUUUCGGCUAGGGGGCCAUCCCGGCUUACCAACCCGAUGCAAACUGCGAAUACCGGAGAAUGUUAUCACGGGAGACACACGGCGGGUGCUAACGUCCGUCGUGAAGAGGGAAACAACCCAGACCGCCAGCUAAGGUCCCAAAGUCAUGGUUAAGUGGGAAACGAUGUGGGAAGGCCCAGACAGCCAGGAUGUUGGCUUAGAAGCAGCCAUCAUUUAAAGAAAGCGUAAUAGCUCACUGGUCGAGUCGGCCUGCGCGGAAGAUGUAACGGGGCUAAACCAUGCACCGAAGCUGCGGCAGCGAACGUAUCACCCAAGACAACUUUACGGAGUUGACGAUUGACGGAGCGAAGCGACGUCAAAGCGUUCAUUAAAGUCGAGUUGGCUUAGGGAUACGUUCGUUGGGUAGGGGAGCGUUCUGUAAGCCUGUGAAGGUGUGUCGUGAGGCAUGCUGGAGGUAUCAGAAGUGCGAAUGCUGACAUAAGUAACGAUAAAGCGGGUGAAAAGCCCGCUCGCCGGAAGACCAAGGGUUCCUGUCCAACGUUAAUCGGGGCAGGGUGAGUCGACCCCUAAGGCGAGGCCGAAAGGCGUAGUCGAUGGGAAACGGGUUAAUAUUCCCGUACUUGGUGUUACUGCGAAGGGGGGACGGAGAAGGCUAUGUUGGCCGGGCGACGGUUGUCCCGGUUUAAGCGUGUAGGUGUGUGUUCCAGGUAAAUCCGGUUCACUUUAACACUGAGGCGUGACGACGAGGCACUACGGUGCUGAAGCAACAAAUGCCCUGCUUCCAGGAAAAGCCUCUAAGCAUCAGGUAACAC
rnacentral:rRNA from 1 species